GGCACGCAGCCUGUUUUUAUUUAUAGGCUGUUUUCAACUUGUCAAUUUCAAAUUAGUUUCUAACAAGUUUUUUAUUUUCUAAGAACAGUUUGAAUUGAGGUGUGUUCCACCUCAUUCAUUCACAUUGGAGUAGUCAUUUUUAAUUUUGUAGACCAAUUCAUUUUUUUGACAUUUCUGACCCGGACAAAAUUGCCCAAACACUUCCCAAUUGUUUGUGCAGUUCAAGUCUGCAGAUUUUUGCUCAUCUCCUGUCCUGCACACACGUGUUCACAUUUUCCGUCUGUUGUUUUCGUUACCAAUAAUAACUUUGGAAAUGUGUGCGUUUCUAUCAAAGUAAGUGCCUUAUUACGUUAUAAUAGUUUCUGCACUUCGUGUUACGUCGUUUCUACUGUAGCAUAAUAUUUUUGUGUAUAUUCCUGAUACCCGCGCACACGCGAGGUAACGUUACUCAUUUCAUAACCUUUAUGGUGUUAUAUUCAAUCGUGCUUAGGUAGCUAGCUACAUUCUUCUAUUAGCUCUGGAAAACAAUGCUAAUGCGUCAGAGAAGUAUUAGCAUGUAUUGCAUUUUGAAGCUACCCUGGCCUUAUGACUCCCAAGUGGCGCAGCUGUCUAAGGCACAGCGUCUAAGUGCUACAGGCGUCACUACAAACACCCAGGCUCAAAUCCAAUCUGCAUUUCUAUCAAAGUGGUCCACCUUCCCUGUGGCCGACAUGGUUGCUGUAUGGGCAGUGGAGAGUACAUGGAUGUCUAGUUUGUCAUACCACUUUACUGCCAGCUGUUGACAUUUCUUAUUUUGUAUAAGGGGUCAUUUAGGAUGGCAGUAGUAUUGUUGAUGAAAUGCAGUCAUCGCAGCAGAAUUAGGAAGCGGUCUUGGGAAAAGAGGGUGGCAAAGAAGGGAUUUGCAAACAUAGGAUCUGUGCUCCAGUAUUAUUUUAGGGAGUUCUUCUUUACUAUCCCAAUGAGGACUGUCACCAGGAAGGUAUACAUUUCACUAAUUGUGGUUGUCCCCCCUACUCCUGGCUCUCUUCUCCUGUAGCUCCAAGGCAUAGCGAUUGGUAUCUACUAUGUCUCCCAGCGGCUCCUCUGUCAGAAACAACUUGAAGCACUCUGCCUCAGAUGGAAAUGGGGAGGGGCGUUGCACUCCAGACUGGGACUCAUCAAAGCAAAUGGCAGGACUAGGAGGGGUAAAAUGGCUGGCAGCCUUCCAGCUACCACAGAACUCCUGUACUUCAUCCAUUGUCGGUCUGCCUCCAUCACCACCAGCAUCUUCAAAUGGAACUGGGACUUUGUCAGUGGACAAGGGGGUCCUCAGAUUGAGGGUUCUCAAUGGCGGUGGGGCAGCUUCUCACUGUCACUGUCAGAAUCUGAUUCCUGACUUUCAUACUCAGACUCAUUGUCAGAAUUUAAAAAAAUAUCCAGAAUUUCCGCGUUUGUGAGUUGUCUCCUUUUUGAAAGACAUUGCUAAUGCUACAGCUUAGCUCACUAGCUACAUACAUAAACAACACUGAAUGGCUCAGAGUGGGAGUGAGAGGUUAUGUGAUUGACUGCCGGCACGCACCAUUUAUAUCAAUAAAUCACUAUCAGAAAAUG